GAUUAAUCAGAAUGAUACACAUCUUGUGCAGAGAAACCGUAACUCUGAUAGUAGCGAUGAGGAUGGAUGUGACUCUGAAGAAGAAAUAAUUGUACUUGAGGCUGUGAGUUCAAUUAUAAAAAGAAGUCUAAAACGAAAGCGCAGACCUAGUAAUAUUCACAAGCAGAAAAGGAC